GAGUUUGAUCCUGGCUCAGGAUGAACGCUAGCGGCAGGCUUAACACAUGCAAGUCGAGGGGUAACGGGGAAGCUUGCUUCCGCCGACGACCGGCGCACGGGUGCGUAACGCGUAUACAAUCUACCUUAUACUGGGGUAUAGCCUUUAGAAAUGAAGAUUAACCCCCCAUAGUCUCUUAGAGUGGCAUCACUUCUAGAGUAAAGGUUACGGUAUAAGAUGAGUAUGCGUUCUAUUAGUUUGUUGGUGUGGUAACGGCACACCAAGACUACGAUAGAUAGGGGCCCUGAGAGGGGGAUCCCCCACACUGGUACUGAGACACGGACCAGACUCCUACGGGAGGCAGCAGUGAGGAAUAUUGGACAAUGGAGGCAACUCUGAUCCAGCCAUGCCGCGUGCAGGAAGACUGCCCUAUGGGUUGUAAACUGCUUUUAUACAGGAAGAAACACCUCUACGUGUAGAGGCUUGACGGUACUGUAAGAAUAAGGAUCGGCUAACUCCGUGCCAGCAGCCGCGGUAAUACGGAGGAUCCAAGCGUUAUCCGGAAUCAUUGGGUUUAAAGGGUCCGUAGGUGGAUAAUUAAGUCAGAGGUGAAAUCUUGCAGCUCAACUGUAAAAUUGCCUUUGAAACUGGUUAUCUUGAGUUAUUAUGAAGUAGUUAGAAUAUGUAGUGUAGCGGUGAAAUGCAUAGAUAUUACAUAGAAUACCAAUUGCGAAGGCAGAUUACUAAUAAUCAACUGACACUGAUGGACGAAAGCGUGGGUAGCGAACAGGAUUAGAUACCCUGGUAGUCCACGCCGUAAACGAUGGUUACUAGCUGUUUGGACUUCGGUCUGAGUGGCUAAGCGAAAGUGAUAAGUAACCCACCUGGGGAGUACGUUCGCAAGAAUGAAACUCAAAGGAAUUGACGGGGGCCCGCACAAGCGGUGGAGCAUGUGGUUUAAUUCGAUGAUACGCGAGGAACCUUACCAGGGCUUAAAUGUAAGUUGCAUUAGUUAGAGAUAGCUAUUUCUUCGGACCACUUACAAGGUGCUGCAUGGUUGUCGUCAGCUCGUGCCG
rnacentral:rRNA from 1 species